rnacentral:rRNA from 1 species
GACGAACGCUGGCGGCGUGCUUAACACAUGCAAGUCGAACGGAAAGGCCCCGCUUUUGUGGGGUGCUCGAGUGGCGAACGGGGGAGUAACACGUGAGUAACCUGCCCUUGACUUUGGGAUAACUUCAGGAAACUGGGGCGAAUACCGGAUAGGAGCUCCUGCUGCAUGGGGGGGGUUGGAAAGUUUCGGCGGUUGGGGAUGGACUCGCGGGUUAUCAGCUUGUUGGUGGGGUAGUGGCUUACCAAGGCUUUGACGGGUAGCCGGCCUGAGAGGGUGACCGGCCACAUUGGGACUGAGAUACGGCCCAGACUCCUACGGGAGGCAGCAGUGGGGAAUAUUGCCCAAUGGGGGGAAGCCUGAUGCAGCAACGCCGCGUGCGGGAUGACGGCCUUCGGGUUGUAAACCGCUUUCGCCUGUGCCGAAGCGUGAGUGACGGUAAUGGGUGAAGAAGCACCGGCUAACUACGUG